GAUGAACGCUAGCGAUAGGCCUAACACAUGCAAGUCGAGGGGUAGCACAGAGUAGCAAUACUUGGGUGACGACCGGCGCACGGGUGAGUAACACGUAUGCAACCUACCUAUAACAGGGAGAUAACCCGGAGAAAUCCGGACUAAUACCCCAUAACACAGGGAUGCCGCAUGGCAAUAUUUGUUAAAGAUUAAUCGGUUAUAGAUGGGCAUGCGUUCCAUUAGCCAGUUGGUGAGGUAACGGCUCACCAAAGCAACGAUGGAUAGGGGAACUGAGAGGUUUGUCCCCCACACUGGAACUAAGACACGGACCAGACUCCUACGGGAGGCAGCAGUGAGGAAUAUUGGUCAAUGGGCGAGAGCCUGAACCAGCCAAAUCGCGUGAAGGAAGACUGCCCUACGGGUUGUAAACUUCUUUUAUAGGGGAAUAAAAAAGGGAACGAGUUCCCUAUUGUAUGUACCCUAUGAAUAAGCAUCGGCUAACUCCGUGCCAGCCGCCGCGGUAAAAC
rnacentral:rRNA from 1 species